AUGUUUGAGCUAUUAUUAUCUGUAAUGUAUCUCCUAUGUCUGGUGUAAUUAUACGAGCCGUAAUGAAAGUGUCUGAUCGUAAUCAGUUUGAAUUUUCUGUACACUGUGAGACCCUAUAGCUAGAAAACUCAAACCAAAAUUUCAAAUAAUAAAAUGUAUCUGAGUUUCACUACCUUAAAGGGUGAAGGCACUUUCCCGUCAUAUACUAUAUCAUAUGGUGAGAGUCCAGUCCUGAGAGUCCAGUUGUACUAUGAAUUUUCAAGUUUUAUGCUGACAUUGAAUGGAAGGUGAAGGACUAUGUAGCAAACCAGCAUGUUUACAAACUGAAACAAAUUUUUAAACAAUAACUUCUUGAAAGUGUCAUCCACAAGGAAGUCAUGACAUCAUUGUGAUGUCAGCAAUGAUGACAGAAGGGAUGGAUAUUGUAGCCUUUCUUCAUAUCAGCCAGGGUGAGUAGGUCAGGGUAUGGAAUGGAAUGGACCCUCAGGAAGGCAUAAUUGUUGGAUUCUCAAGGUGACAUGCAUGAAUCGUUCACAUGUGAAUAAGCACCAUAUUUGAUCAAGGAUAAGCAAAUCUUUGAUGUAUAAAAUUCUUAGAACUGAACAGAUCAAUCAUUCACAUGCAUUCACAUAGCAGCAG